rnacentral:lncRNA from 1 species
CAGAAUCUAAUAUGUGAGAACAGAAUGGUUGCAAUUUCAUAUAUAGAACUGUAUCACAAUUGACUUCCCGUAGUGAUCAUCACAUUACAUCAAACUUCCCCUUCCUCUUUCAAACAGUCAAAAAUAGAGAGCCAUGUGAAACAAAACAUUAUAUAAGUUCCAACACAAACACAAACAUUAUAUAUGGUGCUCUUUACUAACAAGCCUCAGUUUAGCCAAUCAUUUAAUGAUUUUAUGCUUGGAAUACAUGAUUAGCAAAAAGUUGGCAUUACCUCGUUCAGAUUGCCGAGAUGCCCUAUUCUGAAAACCUUGCCAGCGAUUUUGUUCAGGCCAAGGCCUAAACUCAGAUUGUACCUUUUCCACGCCCUUCUCACAAUUUCUGUACUGUCAA